GAAAGCCCAAGAGAGAAAGACUGAUGUCGGCCGCCUUCACGCGAACCGCACCAUCAUCACCAUCUCCAAACCACAGGAGAAUCACCCAUCGAUUCACCGCGCUACACCGGAGCCCAUAGACUCCUCACCUUCAUCACCACGACCGCCAAACCUCCCAGGACCGCCUAAUCUCGGAGAGGAUCAAUCGUGAUCGAGAUCUCAUCCGCCAUAGUUCAAUACGAGGACCAAGAAGGAGGCUUCGCUCAAGCAACAACCUUUACUCCGGUUAUCUUCCAUCGUCCUCCGACGAGAAACUCAUCCAACAAACCCGAACCAUCUUGACUUAACCAGAGAACAACACAAAAAAAACUACAGAAAGUAAACCCUAGAAGGGAACUAAGGGUGCAGAAGCCGGCAGCCAUGGAUCUGUAAGAGCCUCCACGCUCCGGUAACUUAACCGGCGCCACAGAGCUAAAGAAGCCUCCGCAACCCGGGAGCUUUAUCGGCGAUGCUAGAGCUGUGUAAGCCUCUACAACCCGGAUCAAAACGCCGCAGAAAUGGAGAUCUGACUAUCCUAUCUCCUCUCUCCUCGCCGCGUUUUUAUGAUUUUAUCGAUAUUUUUGGGAUUUAUUAUAUUAUUUGGAUUUAUGGUUAUUUAUUGGAUUUACGACUUUGGAGUUGACUUUUGAGAAGUAAUAAAAGGAGAUUUCAGACUUAUUAUUUAUUUAAGUUAUUUCGGAAAAUACAGGUGUUACAGGUGUACUAUACUAGAAAUUGUUAUGUUAAUUAAAACCAAAUUACUUUCGAAUAUAUAUAUAUAUAUAUGCUUUUUUACAAUACAAUCAAUGUAUUUAUCUGGAUAUAACAAAGUAUUAUGUAUAUCAUUUUCAAUAAAUAAAUAAAUAGCCUAAUCUUUUUAUCAGAACAAAGAAAAAAGAGAUAGCUUUUUGAGUGUAUUUCUGAGAAGUGACUCUUUGCAUAUCCAAAAGUCGUCUUUUUUUUUUCCCCAAAUUUUAUUAUAUUAAGAUUAAGAUUAGGGCCAAGCCCAAGAACCCAACAACCGACAGCCACAAAACAAACAUUGGGCUCCAAACGAAAAGGCCGAAGCCCAAAUACAUUAAACGGGCCCGAAGGCCCAAAAACCAAACACCGCAACCCGAAACCCCAAGAGAGAAAGACUGAUGUCGGCCGCCUUCACGCGAACCGCACCAUCAUCACCAUCUCCACUACCACAGGAGAAUCACCCAUCGAUUCACCGCGCUACACCGGAGCCCAUAGACUCCUCACCUUCAUCACCACGACCGCCAAACCUCCCAGGACCGCCUAAUCUCGGAGAGGAUCAAUCGUGAUCGAGAUCUCAUCCGCCAUAGUUCAAUACGAGGACCAAGAAGGAGGCUUCGCUCAAGCAACAACCUUUACUCCGGAUAUCUUCCAUCGUCCUCCGACGAGAAACUCAUCCAACAAACCCGAACCAUCUUGACUUAACCAGAGAACAACACAAAAAAAACUACAGAAAGUAAACCCUAGAAGGGAACUAAGGGUGCAGAAGCCGGCAGCCAUGGAUCUGUAAGAGCCUCCACGCUCCGGUAACUUAACCGGCGCCACAGAGCUAAAGAAGCCUCCGCAACCCGGGAGCUUUAUCGGCGAUGCUAGAGCUGUGUAAGCCUCUACAACCCGGAUCAAAACGCCGCUGAAAUGGAGAUCUGACUAUCCUAUCU
rnacentral:lncRNA from 1 species